UUGGGCGUGGAGAGGCAGCGCCGGCAGGGGAGACGUGCGAGCAGGGCACGUGCAAGCCAUCAUGCUGGAAAAAGCAUAUGUAUUUUAAGUCGGUGUAGUGGUGAGCAAAACAACGAUGAGAACUCACCUGCCUCUGCUGGCUUUGAAGACGGAGGAAGGAGGCCACCAGCCAAGGAACAGAAUGGCCUCUGAACACUGGGAACCAUCCCCAGUUUACAGCCAGCAAGGAAACAUGCACCUCAGUCCUGCAACCGCGAGAAAUUGAAUUCUGCCAACAACCAGAAAGAGCAGGAAACAAAUUCUCCCCAAGAACCUCCAGAAAGGAGCUUUGUCAGCUGACACUUUGGUUUUAUUCUGGGGAGACCCAUGUCGGACUUCUGACCUACGGAACUGGGAGAGAAUAAAGGUGUGUUGUUUGAAACCA